rnacentral:misc_RNA from 1 species
GAAAUGCGAUAAGUAGUGUGAAUUGCAGAAUUUAGCGAAUCAUCGAAUCUUUGAACGCACAUUGCGCCCCUUGGUAUUCCAUGGGGCAUGCCUGUUCGAGCGUCAUUUGUACCCUCAAGCUCUGCUUGGUGUUGGGUGUUUGUCCCCGUCUCCGCGCGUGGACUCGCCCCAAAGUGAUUGGCAGCCGGCGUACUGGUCCCGGAGCGCAGCACAUGUCGCGCAAACGAGUGCCUUGGUACGGCGGCGUCCAUAAGCCCCUCUCUCACGCUCUUGACCUCGGAUCAGGUAGGGAUACCCGCUGAACUUAAGC